rnacentral:misc_RNA from 1 species
GAUGAAGAACGUAGCGAAAUGCGAUAAGUAAUGCGAAUUGCAGAAUUCCAGUGAGUCAUCGAAUCUUUGAACGCACAUUGCGCCCUUUGGUACUCCGAAGGGCAUGCCUGUUCGAGCGUCAUUAUCACCCCUCAAGCCCUCGGCUUGGUGUUGGACGGUUUGGUGGAGGCCCCCUCGGGGGCUCCUGCCCCUCCCAAAGACAAUGACGGCGGCCUCGUUGGACCCCCGGUACACUGAGUUCUUCACGGGACACGUAUCGGACACAUGGGUUUACGGGACACGGUCUGCCUCCCCUCAAGGGAGAAUCUUUCUAAGGUUGACCUCGGAUCAGGUAGGGAUACCCGCUGAACUUAAGCAUAUCAAUAAGCGGAGGA